CAUAUUUUUAUUUUGUUGAAUGUGGGAGAAUAGCGAAAGGGGUACAUUUCAGUUAUCAUAUGAUUAGAAAUAUACCUUGCUCCCUAUCUUUUUGGAUAUGCACUUCUGGUAGCUAUGUGAGCUAUGGUUGUCCUGUUACAUGUACUUCUUGGGGAAGUAGCACUACUCGUCUUCAUGUACAAUGUUUAUUUAUAUGCAAGACAGAAUGACUGCAAACUUGGUUUAUAUUAGGUCUCCUUUCCAAAUAUGGUUCUAUGUUUUUUCUUUGAUGCCAGGUGACACAUUGGGCAGAACAAGGAGAGAUUGUCGAGGCGGAGCCAUGACAAUUGUGGAGUCCAUGAUCAUUAGUUCAUCAUCAACAAGCAGAAAAAGUCGGUAUAGCUUUGCCAUGGCGAGGUUCUCACCUGCUUUGCGAGUACUUUUUUUUUAUAUGCUCGAGCUUAAAAUUGGUUUUGUGGCAUCAUGGAUAAGGCAAAUAUGACAAUUGUCUCUACUGUUAUGUUUCCACUGGCCCAUUAUAACCUCUGUUUGAUAAUUUGCAACAGACUCACAUGGUAAGGGUGUCCUAAACUGAUCAUGUUUCUUGUGGAAAGCCACCUUGAAUCGAAUAUGAAUAGUGCUUUAUCAAGUUGGAUAUAAUGUCACUGCAUUGUAAAUAAAUUAUUAUAUGCUGCAAUUCUUCUUUGUUUUGGUAUAAUGUUGUAAACCUCCGCACUUUUCCCUUUCAUCAUGUCAAUCUAUCAAAUUUGAAGCGUGACCUACUGUGUUGGAUGGUUGCCGGGUUGGAUAUGACCGCACCCGGCAGGGGUGCGGGGUGCGGCAAGCUGCACUUUCCAUCUAGU
rnacentral:lncRNA from 1 species